UUUCUGAAAUACUGCGCCCUAAUCGUUUUCACACCCUUCAAACAAGGUGAAAAAUAAUACGCCUGAAGUUCCUUUACUCCUUCAUAAACCGUAAAUUCUCUUCAGAUCCUAGUCCAUACAUAACUCUUCUGCAUCCAGGAAAACCAGUCAUUCCCACCCCCUCGCACCCUCCCCUUACAUUGCCAGGACAAACCUUUUUAAAUUUUCUUUUUUUCCCCGAACUAUACAAGAAUGGAACCUCGUCCCUUUCCAACAUCUCAACUCCUCUGAUUCAUUUCAAACUCAUAUUAUUAGUAUUUCCUAAGUAACAUUGCUCUUUUGUGCUAUUUUGUUUCCUUUCCUAAGUUUUAUAUUUUGCAAUUCUGCCUUUUGUACGCAUAUUUUUUAUGUGUUAACUUGCCCCUCCUGGUUGGGCCACACGGCCUGCAGUAUGAUGUAAAUAAAGUAAGUCCUUGAUUUUCAAGUGUCAAGAUGUCAGGGUUGUGUGCAGUGAAUUUGUGUUUAGGCAGCAUUGUUUAAUUCAUUGAAUCUCUAUAUGUGGUCUUGUUUCUAACCAGGCUUUUAACCAAACCAAAGAUAAACCAUUAUUUUCAGCUGAACCGAACCAAAAUGUCAGAGGAACUGUUCCCAACUGGUUUGACCAACAGGGUCGGCUCAGGGUCAUCGUUGCUGAAAUUAUGACUGUGCAUGGUGCUAAGCUUAAACCAGACCGUGCCUCUUGCAUCAAUCUGGUGCAGUGCAUGGAGUGCUGCCCUGGCAGCAGUUAUGUGGUUUGCCACGGUGAUCUCAGAGGCCCAAUGAAAUCCUCAGCUUUCAGUUUGCCAAGUUCACACCAUUUGAUCGCGACUGUAUGCUGCUUUACUUGAUGCACGGUUUCAUCGCGGUUCCAUGUGCAGUCUUGUUGACUUCAUUUGAUUACGUGAAGCAAUGCAAGUACUGUACUGUGUUUUCCAGGGACUACUUAGUGUACGAAGCGAAAGGUCAAGUUUGAUUUGAAUUAUGCUGGACUACCGAUUGCAGUUGCAGGAAAUUAAUCAACUAGCUCCAUUUUGUGUGGCUUCCAACGUGCAGAUUAAGUACUCAUGAUGGCGAGACCAUAUUGAGGAUGCAAACUCAAGGUGCGGGUGGACAAAUGUUAGGAAUGCUAAUUUGCGGGGUUACACAAGUUACGAUGAAUGUAACGUAGUGAUAUUGAAGCAUUCACACAUAUGGCUGGGAUACGAAAGGACCAUAUUGUAGCGGGCAUUUCGUCCGAGAUGGCAUACUGUGGGAACACAGAAUGCUAUAUUUGUAUUUUGCGCGAAAACAGCAAAUAAAGUAGUGUCAUAGGACUCACUGGUAAUCUUUAAUAUGGUGCGUGAGCAGACACGAGGAUAUAUCACAUCUUGUGAAAAUUCUGGGUCUCUUGCUUUCCCAUCUUUUGAAUCCUUGUAUGCUAUUUCACUUGAGAAGAUUGUCAUAUGCUUUAUAUUUAUUAAGGCCAAAUGACUUUCUUGGACAUAGUUGAAGGCUUAAGAGUGGGCUUGAAUGUGUGCGGUACGCCAAACACGAAACAGCAAUCUGGUCACUGUUUCGUUGAGGGGUGGUGUUUGUCUCGGGAAGCUGAGAAAAGCACUCAUAUCUCUUUGUGCUGUGGUAUAUGCACAUGUGAGGCCAGGCGAUGUGUGGCCCUUGUUUCUGUGGUUGUAUAAUAAUCAAGCAAGAGCUGUGUUCCAAUGCCCGAUCCAUCAUUGUGAUCCUCAGAAUUCCCCAUUUAUUUGACCUUUUCAUCAUUUGACAGCUGUGCAUUUGGGCCACGAUUCUGUAGCGAUGCCUUCCGCUCGAUUAUAUGCCACUCUUAUCAUCCACCGUUCACAACCGGCUGAUCGCUUUGAUAACGAAUAACGCGGGUGGGCCGUCACUCUGACCACUGACAAAGCACGAAAAGGAAUAUCAUCGGAGAAGGAAUCGCUACAAAAUCGCAGCCUUAGUGCAUCCUUGUGACACUGAACAGUCCUGGUUUGACCUCUGCAACACCACAGUUACCUCUUUUUUACCUAGGUUUGGCAAACUUGUUUGCACAUUUUCUUGCCAAAUUGAUCGACUUUUCGUGAUGCACAUUCGUGUUCAUGCCUAUGUAUGCACCUUGGCUGAAUGCUGCAAACGUCUUUCAGGCCACUCCUCUCUGAACAAGGUUGUGUCAGUGUCCUCAGACCAAUGUGAUGUACUGGCAACAGGACGGGCUGUGUGCAGCUGUCAAGUUAUCCAGCCUUCGGUCUGGCCAGCUUGUAUUAGUGUUGCGUUAAUGUAUACCCUGAAAGCAUAAAAAUAAACGCUACUGUUAUGUGAUAGCCAU
rnacentral:lncRNA from 1 species